rnacentral:rRNA from 1 species
UAUACGGUGAAACGGCGAAUGGCUCAUUAAAUCAGUUAUCGUUUAUUUGAUAGUACCUUACUACAUGGAUAACCGUGGUAAUUCUAGAGAUAAUACAUGCUAAAAACCCCGACUUCGGAAGGGGUGUAUUUAUUAGAUAAAAAACCAACGCCCUUCGGGGCUCCUUGGUGAAUCAUAAUAACUUAACGAAUCGCAUGGCCUUGCGCCGGCGAUGGUUCAUUCAAAUUUCUGCCCUAUCAACUUUCUAUGGUAGGAUAGAGGCCUACCAUGGUUUCCACGGGUAACGGGGAAUUAGG